UACAGAGGGUGCGAGCGUUAUUCGGAUUUACUGGGCGUAAAGCGUGCGUAGGCGGCUUUUUAAGUUGGAUGUGAAAUCCCCGGGCUCAACCUGGGAAUUGCAUUCGAUACUGGGAAGCUAGAGUAUGGGAGAGGGUGGUAGAAUUCCCGGUGUAGCGGUGAAAUGCGUAGAGAUCUGGAGGAAUACCGGUGGCGAAGGCAGCCAUCUGGCCUAAUACUGACGCUGAGGUACGAAAGCAUGGGGAGCAAACAGG
rnacentral:misc_RNA from 1 species